GUCGGUCCAAUAAAAGAUAUCACCUCACCCAGCUUGCCUCUCUCAUAUCCUGGGACCUAACAUGGCUUCAGCAACACUGUAAAGGUUGCUGAACAACCCUCCCUCCCUCUCGGUUAAUGUCUGGAGAUGGAGAACUUCAACUUAUAAACCCAACAUAUGCAAGAUUUAUGACCCUCUUUGUCCCUGUGUUCCAGAGCCAAGUUGAUCAGCUAUGUACAGUCUCGAACCUGGGUCUGCAGGAGCAGCCAGGCUCCGACCCUCUACCUGGCAGCUUACUGACAGCUGCUUACCUAGGACCUACAAAAACCAGCCCCAGUUUGAGGCUCUGCCGCUGAGGUCCUAUUGGCAGAGUGUCAGAGCAGCAGAUUGGCUCACAGGCCCUACUUAAGCCAGCAGCAGGAUCCUGUUUGAACAGCUGAGCUCCACCCUGCUCUGAAUUGUGCGCCAUCCCACUGCUGCCCCCACUCUCCUAGCUUGACUUCUGGCAUCUGACUUGUGGCUCCUGACCUCCAGUCUGUCUCCUGCCUCUGACACCCCUGGUAUCCUGACCCAUCCUGACUCUGGUUCCUGACUCGUGGCUCUGGUCUCCCGGGACCCUGACCCAGCUGACUCCUGACUUGUGACUGUGGACUCUGGCUCUGACCAUUAGGUCUGGCUGCCCAUGGCCCAGUCAUCACAUUUGUUUGUAACUUUUCGAGAGUGUUGCUCCACAAUGCAAUAUCAGCAAAGUCUAGGUCUCCUAGCCUUUGCCAUCUACCCAUGUAAUACCAGUGUCUGUGUUGCUAAUACACUUGUUCAUUAUUCACACUUUGGCAAUGCCAAACAGCAGAAAUGAAAUACAGCCCUGUUUC